GACAGAGGGUGCAAACGUUGUUCGGAAUUACUGGGCGUAAAGCGCGUGUAGGCUGCUUGGAAAGUCGGAUGUGAAAGCCCUGGGCUCAACCUAGGAAGAGCAUUCGAAACUUCCAAGCUCGAGUUUCGGAGAGGAAGGCGGAAUUCUCGGUGUAGAGGUGAAAUUCGUAGAUAUCGAGAGGAACAUCGGUGGCGAAGGCGGCCUUCUGGACGAUGACU
rnacentral:rRNA from 1 species